rnacentral:sRNA from 13 species
AUCUCAUAAAUAUGACGACAAAAAUAAUAACUGCAAACGUUUUAAUGAUAAGUCCCCGAUUCCCUUUUUUGA